CCCAUGUGAUGCAAACACCUUUGUGCCUGACAUAACUGCUGGAGGUUACAAACAAAACUGAUUUAAUGAGGCUGAUGG